rnacentral:misc_RNA from 1 species
CAACCCUUAAGCCCUUGUUGCUUAGCGUUGGGAGCCUACGGCACCGUAGCUCCCCAAAGUCAGUGGCGGAGCCGGCUCACACUCUAGACGUAGUAAUUUCUCACCUCGCCUAUAGUUGGACCGGUCCCCUGCCGUAAAACGCCCCAGUAUUUAAAAGG